rnacentral:piRNA from 1 species
UUCUAGAUGUUAGGAAAGUUGUAA